rnacentral:rRNA from 1 species
GACAGAGGGGGCAAGCGUUGCUCGGAAUUACUGGGCGUAAAGGGCGCGUAGGCGGGAUGGCAAGUCGGUCGUGAAAUCCCUCGGCUCAACCGAGGAACGUCGAUCGAUACUGCUGUUCUUGAGGAUUGCAGAGGAGACUGGAAUUCCCGGUGUAGCGGUGAAAUGUGUAGAGAUCGGGAGGAACACCUGCGGCGAAGGCGGGUUGCUGGGCCGACACUGACGCUGAUGCGCGAAAGCAUGGGGAGCGAACAGG